GUUCCUACGGGGGGCAGCAGUAGGGAAUCUUCCACAAUGGACGAAAGUCUGAUGGAGCAACGCCGCGUGAGUGAAGAAGGUACUUAGUAUUGUAAACUUCUUUUGUCGGGGAACAAAGGCGGAGACGCGUCUCCGGAUGAGUGUACCCGAAGAAAAAGCAUCGGCUAACUCCGUGCCAGCAGCCGCGGUAAUACGGAGGAUGCGAGCGUUAUCCGGAUUUAUUGGGUUUAAAGGGUGCGCAGGCGGGAGAUCAAGUCAGCGGUAAAAUGUCGGGGCUCCACCCCGGCCGGCCG
rnacentral:rRNA from 1 species